AUGCUUUUGCCCUUCCGUCUCAAUUCUGUCCGGUCAAAGGUGUUUGACCAUUACAGAGAUAUUUCUCUAGACCAUUUUGCCCCUCCUUAUAACUCCAGUAAAAAUAUGAAGAGAAAAAACAUGACACUUACAAGUGGGUUCAUCCACAUUGAAAAGAAAAAAUUACCAAAUAGAAAAUUAGUAUCUCUCUCUCCUCUCUCACUCUCUUUGUUGCUGGGCAAACAACAACAGCGACGACGAGCAAUUGCCAUUGAAAAGUCGGGGCAGGCCGGCGAGUUGGCGAGCUGGGCCGGAGGGCGCGAGGAGGCGUCAGGCGAGGUCAGCUGCAAGGGGCGGCGACGGAUGCAGGGGAGGCCCGAAUCAGCAUGGGGCAUGCGGGCCCGAUGGAGAGACUGGUGGAUCCCGCUGCGGGAGGCUCGGGAUGGACUGGAUAUGGCCGAGAUGGAGGUCGGGGAGGUGCUGGUGACCGGCGGCGAGGUAGAUGGCAGUUGUUUCCAUCCCGGGGCUCAGGGCACCAUGGACAUGGUGGCUUGA
rnacentral:rRNA from 1 species